rnacentral:rRNA from 1 species
GACGAACGCUGGCGGCGUGCUUAACACAUGCAAGUCGAACGGAAAGGCCCUGCUUUUGUGGGGUGCUCGAGUGGCAAACGGGUGAGUAACACGUGAGUAACCUGCCCUUGACUUUGGGAUAACUUCAGGAAACUGGGGCUAAUACCUGAUAGGAGCUCCUGAUGCAUGGUGGGGGUUGGAAAGUUUCGGCGGUUGGGGAUGGACUCGCGGCUUAUCAGCUUGUUGGUGGGGUAGUGGCUUACCAAGGCUUUGACGGGUAGCCGGCCUGAGAGGGUGGCCGGCCACAUUGGGACUGAGAGACGGCCCAGACUGCUACGGGAGGCAGCAGUGGGGAAUAUUGCACAAUGGGCGGAAGCCUGAUGCAGCAACGCCGCGUGCGGGAUGACGGCCUUCGGGUUGUAAACCGCUUUCGCCUGUGACGAAGCGUGAGUGACGGUAAUGGGUAAAGAAGCACCGGCUAACUACGUG